GCUAUCUGAUUUCUGCAACUGGCCUGGGCCUAAUUAAAAGGUAUUUUGCUGGGGUUUAGAGUUGCAAAAGAAUUGAGGGCACGUAGGAAUUAUGGCACAGGCAUGGUGUAAAGAUGGGGUGUGUCAUGGGCAGAACUCAGGGGGGUUCACUGAUAUCCCAGGGUCCCUUCCCACUGCCCCUUUUCCUGGUGGAAAGCACUCCAGCUCAACACAGGGUAUUUUUGCAGCACUUUGGAAUGAUAUUGCUACUUUUUAUAUAUUUUCACAGCACUUAAAAUUCUUUAAUUUUUUUUUUUUUUUUGGUAGGAUUUUUCUCCAUUGAUUUUAAGGAACUUGAAGUUUCCAGCAGCUCUGCAAGUGCCUUACAUCCCAGCUCUGCUCCUGGUUCAGCCCCUGAUGUCCAGGCACACAAUCCCAUCACCCCCUGGCCCAUGAAGGAUGACUUGGAGCAGGGUGCUGCUUGCUGGGCUAUUUUUACAACAAAGUGGGAGUUGCAAAAACUGGGAGUAACACCUACACUGUUUGUGUCUCCUCUUGUUCUUAUCUCUAUUUCACAGUCAAUAUGUUUCACAACUUAAAAUAUGCCUCAAAAAAUUAAGGGGAGGGGAAGUUACCAACAGCGUGCUUCCAUCAUCUCCCCUGCAGAACAGGAGAUCCACAGGGAUCAGCUCCCUGCCAGCAAAUCCUGCAGCAGGGGGGAUAAAAAUCCUCUGGUGGGUAUCACCUGGAGAAGAAGGCACGUGCAGGGUGCUGGGUAAGUGCAGGAUGGAUUAUUUGGGAAGCAGUUAAAUUCAUGGGACCCUCCAAGCCAUGAGCAGGGUUUUGGGAUGCCGCCGUGUCCGGGCAGUCCCGGCCCACGGGCUCUGCACACCCACGAUGGCCACAGGAAUGAGGGAUUUUCUCACAGCACCAAUGAGCAGCUUCUGGGCUCUGCCCUCCUGGCCAGGAGCCUGAAUGUGAAGCAAUUUGGCUGCCAAAUGUCCGUAUUUAAACUCUGUGUAAUUAUUCCCCAGGAGCGCGUUCCCACGUGGAGGAGCAGCAGCCGUCGCCGAGCGUUCUCUGACUCAGCAGAAUCGCUGGAAAAACGUUUGCUCACGGAUGGAAAUCUGCAGAGAGCAGGCAAAGGGGCAGGCACAGAGCAUUCAUGUCUGGUGAUGGUGAGAGAUGGGAUACAGGCCUGGCAGACACCUGGCACCACUUCACAGUGAGCACUGGGGAAGGAAAGAAGGAACCUGAAACCUUACCAACAACAGCACAUCAACAGUUCAGAAAGUCAAAACAUUUGGGGCAUGGCAGCUGCAGAAAGCAGAGGAGAGCUGCCCAUGCUGCUGAGCUCGAAGGGGAUUUGCCAGCCAAUAGAAUUUUGUUCACCCCAUGGCAUACCUGUGCAGCUGGAGUGAGGAGGGAGCACAUCCUCUGUGCCACUGGUCCAGCACAGCCCUGGAGGAACAGCUGAGCCUGCAGCAUCCCUAGGGACACUGCUGUCAACACAGGUUUCUCCAACAAGUCCCUUGUGCCAAGUCCUGAGGGAAAAAAAAAUCCUUCCAGUGUUGGGAAAAAGGAAAGCCAGAAGAAGAGCAUCCAGAUCAACCUGCCCUGGGGUCAUUUAUCAAAGCAGGCUCUGCCUGGGUGGUUUGGGAACAUUCCCACAUGCCAGGCUGCAGCAGGCAGCUGCUGUGCCCAGUCUGCAGCUGGUGUCUGGCACCAGAACGUGCUGGUUCUGGGAAGCUCCCAGGGGACAUUGUAUUCCAGGAAUGAUCUCAGGAAGGAUGAGCAGCCUGGGCAGCAGAACACCUGCAGUGCUGGUCAAACCCUCUGGGGUGCAAGGAAAAUGCUUCCCUCAGGAGGGAGAGCUUGCAGACCUGGGCAGGGUAAGUGUGGUGCAAGCACAGGUGAUUUCCUCUGCCAGAUGAGUUCAGGUCCUGAGGUCAGGGCUAAAGUGCUGACUUUUGGCAUUUUGGCAUUUCUUGCCUUAAAUUCUAGAGCUGCUCACCACACUCACAGAGACUGAAAUCCCAUUCUUUCCAGUGUCCACAGCAAGUUAUACCUGGAGAAUAUCCAGCUCCCACACCAGGAAGGUGUUCCUGGCUGGAAGGAGUGGCUGCUCCAGUUUGAAUUGCUUUCAGCUCUCCACAGCUGCCUCUGCAAUGCAUGGGCAUGCUUUGCCAUGCAGGACCUGCAUUUUGCACAGUAGAUCCUUUCAGAAGUGCAGAGUUCCAGACUUCCUGGAUGGAGAUGUGGAUGUUUAAAGCAUUCCUACAUCAUCUGACCUCUUAUGGCCUAAGCAGACAGAGUGGUGACACAGUUCAGAGAGGGAUGGAGACAACAGCUAAUUAAAGUUUGGAAGCCAAA